rnacentral:rRNA from 1 species
UUGCCCUAGUAACGGCGAGUGAAGCGGCAACAGCUCAAAUUUGAAAUCUGGCGCAAGCCCGAGUUGUAAUUUGUAGAGGAUGCUUCUGGGUAGCGGCCGGUCUAAGUUCCUUGGAACAGGACGUCAUAGAGGGUGAGAAUCCCGUAUGUGAUUGGCUUGCACCCUCCACGUAGCUCCUUCGACGAGUCGAGUUGUUUGGGAAUGCAGCUCUAAAUGGGAGGUAAAUUUCUUCUAAAGCUAAAUACCGGCCAGAGACCGAUAGCGCACAAGUAGAGUGAUCGAAAGAUGAAAAGCACUUUGGAAAGAGAGUUAAAAAGCACGUGAAAUUGUUGAAAGGGAAGCGCCCGCAACCAGACUUUGCGGCGGUGUUCCGCCGGUCUUCUGACCGGUUUACUCGCCGCCGUGAGGCCAUCAUCGUCUCGGACCGCUGGAUAAGACCUUAGGAAUGUAGCUUCCCUCGGGAAGUGUUAUAGCCUCUGGUGAUGCAGCGAGUCUGGGGCGAGGUCCGCGCUUCGGCAAGGAUGAUGGCGUAAUGGUUGUCGGCGGCCCGUCUUGAAACACGGACCAAGGAGUCUAACAUCUAUGCGAGUGUUCGGGUGUCAAACCCCUACGCGUAAUGAAAGUGAACGGAGGUGGGAACUUUUUGUGCACCAUCGACCGAUCCUGAUGUCCUCGGAUGGAUUUGAGUAAGAGCAUAGCUGUUGGGACCCGAAAGAUGGUGAACUAUGCCUGAAUAGGGUGAAGCCAGAGGAAACUCUGGUGGAGGCUCGCAGCGGUUCUGACGUGCAAAUCGAUCGUCAAAUUUGGGUAUAGGGGCGAAAGACUAAUCGAACCAU